rnacentral:rRNA from 1 species
ACGUUAGCGGCGGACGGGUGAGUAACACGCGGGUAACCUACCUAUAAGACUGGGAUAACUUCGGGAAACCGGAGCUAAUACCGGAUAAUAUUUCGAACCGCAUGGUUCGAUAGUGAAAGAUGGUUUUGCUAUCACUUGUAGAUGGACCUGCGCCGUAUUAGCUAGUUGGUAAGGUAACGGCUUACCAAGGCGACGAUACGUAGCCGACCUGAGAGGGUGAUCGGCCACACUGGAACUGAGACACGGUCCAGACUCCUACGGGAGGCAGCAGUA